CGCGGGGUGGAGCAGUCUGGUAGCUCGUCGGGCUCAUAACCCGAAGGUCGUUGGUUCAAAUCCGGCCCCCGCAA
rfam:Enterovibrio pacificus strain CAIM 1920 contig014, whole genome shotgun sequence.